rnacentral:rRNA from 1 species
CCUUUAGAUGGGCCCGCGUUGGAUUAGGCUAGUUGUGGGUAAAGGCCUACCAAGGCGACGAUCCAUAGCUGGUCUGAGAGGAUGAUCAGCCACACUGGGACUGAGACACGGCCCAGACUCCUACGGGAGGCAGCAGUGGGGAAUAUUGGACAAUGGGCGAAAGCCUGAUCCAGCAAUGCCGCGUGAGUGAUGAAGGCCUUAGGGUUGUAAAGCUCUUUUACCCGAGAUGAUAAUGACAGUAUCGGGAGAAUAAGCUCCGGCUAACUCCGUG